GACGUAGGAUGCAAGCGUUAUCCGGAAUUAUUGGGCGUAAAGCGUUCGUAGGUGGUUUGUUAAGUAAGAUGUUAAAGCCUUAAGCUUAACUUAAGUAAUGUAUCUUAAACUGGCAGACUAGAGACAAGUAGAGGUAGAUGGAAUUCUGUAUGUAGGGGUAAUAUCCGUAGAUAUACAGAGGAACACCAAAAGCGAAGGCAGUCUACUGGACUUGUUCUGACACUCAAGAACGAAAGCGUGGGGAGCAAACGGG
rnacentral:rRNA from 1 species